rnacentral:hammerhead_ribozyme from 1 species
AUCCAACUGAAAAGUCCCAAAUAGGACCAAACCUGCGUCUUGUAU